CGAUUUCUAGAAAGGCACACACCUAAGCAACUAGAACCUCCAAGAUGAAGAAAAUGGAAAUGAAGAAAGGUAAUUGCAAGAUCGACUUUGGACAGACGAAACAUGAGGAAGAAUACGAUAAUGAGUGGUAGGCUAAUACCAAACAGCUCCAAGUUUUCCCUUAUUUUGUCUCUCGUUCUCCCUAAUCACACUGAUGUUUGUAUGAUUAGGAUGAAUCGAUUGAACAAGAUGAGCACCGGUUGUUUGUUCAUAGUUAUCGUCUAAAACAAGAGGUUUGAUUUUUGAUUUGUGAUUUUCGAUUGGUGGGUUUUUUAUAUUCAAUUUUGCUUAUAGAUUUUCGUUAGUAUGUGCUUGUUCAGGUUUUGAGUGAAGAAACAACAAAAUCAACUUCUUUGACUGAAUUUGCCCUCAAGUUGUUCGACCAAAUGCUUCUGCGAGAAGAUGAAACAUGUAUACAAAAAUUGAUUAUAGACAAAACUGCAAAAAAUAGUCCCUGUGGUUUGCAUUUUUUCAGGAAACAAGUCCAAACAGUGACUUUUUUUUGAUUCGUGGUCCUUUUUAAGUGGUUUGUAUGUGAAAAUGGUCCCUCC
rnacentral:lncRNA from 1 species